AACGCACAUUGCGCCCCUUGGUAUUCCGAGGGGCAUGCCUGUUCGAGCGUCAUUGCACAAUCUCUCAAGCCUAGCUUGGUGUUGGGUCUUCAUCCGUCUGUCCCUCCCUCUACUGUUCGGGUAAGGGGGAGAGAACCCGGAUGUACCUAAAAAUUAGUGGCGGUGCCCAUGUUGGUCUCAAGCGUAGCAGACUCUCUCUCGCUUUGGAUGACCUGUCAUGGCUAGCUCACCAGCCCCUGCAUGUAUGCAUGCAUCUUUAACCAAUGUUUGACCUCGGAUCAGGUAGGGAUACCCGCUGAACUUAA
rnacentral:misc_RNA from 1 species